GACUGAACUCACAAGUCGUAAUAACUCGUAACCAGUUUAGAUUUUCACAGAAAACGACAAAAUAAAUAACCUCCCAAUUCCAGAAAAAUUCCCUUCGAAUUUCCCAGUUCUAACUAUUCGCGAUUCAAUCUUCAAAAUAUUGUCGAAGGAAGAUGGAGUUCGAUAAGCCUCAAAUUUAUCACGAGAAGCAAAGAUUGCAAUUCUGCCUUUUGCACGCCCUCAACAAUCUCUUCCAGGUACUAUUCCCUAUUCCUUUCUCUCUUCUCUUCUAAUUUGUUUGCUCUAUUCGAUUUUUUCACAAAAAAACCUUUCAUAAUCAGAACCCAUGUCACUCAUUUCAGCAAAAGGAUGAGUUUACUCGAGCCAGCUUGGAUGCAAUUGCUCAGAAACUCGUUUUGGAUGAUCCAAACAAGCAGAACCAGACACCCUUUUCUAUUGUCUUCAAGCCUCAUCAUAAUUCCCUCACUGGAAACUAUGACAUCAACGUCUUGAUAGCCGCCCUUGAAGAGAAAGGUAAGACUGUAGCUUGGCAUGACCGGCGAAAUGGGGCUUCUUCAAUUCAUCUUGAUAAUCAUAGUAAUGGGUCUGAAGAUAGUAAAUUGUUUGGUAUAGUGCUUAAUGUUCAAGUUAGACGGUAUGCUGGGCUUUGGAAGAGUAGGCAUUGGGUUGCUUUGAGAAAGAUUGGCGGGGUUUGGUAUAAUUUGGACAGUGAUCUUAGUGAGCCUAUGGCUUUUCAGGAUGCUGAUAAGGUCAGGGGAUUCUUGGAUUGCAUUAUUGGUCAGGGUGGGGAAGUGUUGCUUGUCAUGAAUGAGAAAGAGUGACUUCUCUUUUCUUUUGGUUUUGAGUGGUCAUAGAACUUUGUAUACAUCAAUCUUUGUGUACUUACACUUCAAUAGCAAAACGAAAUGCAGCAGUCUUUCUUCAAGAUUUCUUUCUUCUUCUCUUACAUUUUUUUAAUCAUUUGAUUUAGGGUGAUUUAGUAAGUUGGGGGUGAAUUCUUCCCAUUCCACUUUGAAGCGCGUGAUUAAGAAAAUAAUUUGUGCUUCAUGCAAAUUACUAAGGGAGUAAAGAGAAAAUGUUGCCAAGGGGUUCAUGUGGCAGCUAGAUCUCAGAAGUGAGCUUAGG
rnacentral:misc_RNA from 1 species